UGCAUGUUCUUUACCACUUUUAAUAACUGAAAGAGAGAAAAAAAGUUAAUGCUUAACUGUUUUUAUGCAAGACUUUUUUUUUUUUAAGCUAACUUGUUUGAGGGAACAUUAAAAUGGGGUCAAAUUGUUAUAUUCGUUCAUUUGGGUCAUGCCAUGGUUCGACUCAUCAUUUUGAUUUUAAUUGUUUCCCUACAAUAGGAAAAUAUAAAUAUAUAUAUAUCUAUAUAUGGUAUGAUAAAUUUGGGGUAAGAUCUAUUGACUGUACUUAAUUCCCUAUAUAAAUAAAACUUUUUUUGUUUUUCUGUUUUUAUUAGAUGGUACUGAAUUUUGUUCCACUGUAACAGAUGCUGUUUAGAAAGCUUGCAGUCUUUGUGUGGAAUACAGCACAACUCAGAGGUGUUUAGUUGUGAUGCGGGAGCUUGUAUGUGAAUGAAUGGGAACAAAAAUGACAAGAUUUAUCUCAAUUGACUCACUAAAACGGAGGAAAGGGCUCAAUAGGGUAAGUGUGCAGCUGCUAGGAUCCCAUUUAGUGUAGUUUAAAAGAAAAGAGCAACAUUAUGUUCAUAUGACUGCCUCAUAUGAUGUACAAAACUAAAUAUUUUAACAUCAUCUGCUAUGUAUUAUAGUAAAUAAAUGAUUUUGACAAAUGAUGUUUGCCUGGUGUUGUUUUUCUGGUGCGUGAGCCUUUAUGAAGAAACAUCCAAUUGUAGUUAAAAGGUCCUCUGUAAUCAGGGUUGCCAGAUCUGCGCAAUAGAACCAGUUUAAUGGGCACUCAAAGCUAGAAGAAAAGUUUUAUUUCAAGUAAAACAAAACCUAAAAUAUGCCACUUCCUACCUUUUUACGUUUUAAAAUACAUAUUUUAGUUAUUAUCUUGCAUUACACACAGUUUUAACUUAUAAAUGACAGUAGUAAUCAUAAAAUGUCUGUUUUUACAAAUAGGAUUAUCUUACCCUAAGACAGUCAGCUAAUGUACACAGUCUUUGGUGUGGAUGCUAAUCUUUUAUUUUUGACUGUUCUUCUUGGUCCUUUUCAUACAUUUCUUCAAACACGCUCCUCAUCAGAUUAUGUGGAGAUUAAAUAUUGAGUAGGUUAAAUAUUUAAAUACAAACAUUCCAAUCAAAUAUAUUUUCUGCAAUAUGUCAAACAUUUAACCCGCGGGAAAAAAGUCUAUCCCUGGCAAGUUUAAAGUAUCCCAGUUCUUGGCAACCCUGUCUGCAAUGCUGCCACUGCAGAGCCGUGUAUAACGUGCGCCACCUACAGGACCAAGAUAUAAACUACACAACUCGAUGUGUGUGCGGUACUUAAUUUAUUUGAUUUGUUUACAUUAUUAGGCACAAUUCCUACGUGUUUGUUUUGUAGCGAAUAUGGUAACAACUAGCUUCAAUGACACAAAACUGAGCUUAUAUAUGAUCGAAAACUCAACAUUUCUGGAAGGAAGUCAUUGUUCCACCUGAGGCUGAAAGCUUUUGCCUUCAUAGGUGAGAAUUUAAACCGGUCACAUUCUGUGAAAGGGGUUCUUGCUCUCAGACCUAAUACAUUUGAUAGCUCAGCUCAAUUCAUCUUGUGUGAAGAGUAUCAAAUCAUCUUGGCUGCAUGUGGAGGUCUUGUGAAAUCUGAGGCCAGCAAAAAACCCCACGUUAAAAUUGGGCUUCAAGUGCCUGUUAAGAUUUAGCAGACUGCAAAAUAAACGGGUCUAAUAAUUUAUCAGAUAAGGAUAAUGUCUAAGGGAGAAAAUAUAUCUUUUUAGAUUAAUAUUAUAGAGUAGUUGUUUAACCAAAAAUGAAAAAUCCGUCAGAAUUUGAUACCUGUAUGACUUACGUGAAUGUUCAAGCUGCUCUUUUCCUUACAAUGAAAGUGAAUGGUGACCACAUCUUAAAUGGCUUACAUAGGCUUAAUCAUAUGGCUUCAGGUUUGGAAUAUAGUGCAUAGGUCAUAUGGACCACUUUAAUAAUUAUUUUUUUGCCUUUAUGAAGCUUGACAGGACCUCAUCCCCAUCCACAUUCAUUGUAUGGAAAAGAGAAGCAUGAACAAUCUCCAACUAUCUUCCUUUGAAGAAAAAACGCCCUGAAAGCACGUGAGGGUGAGCAAAUGAUGACAGAAUGGGCAAAUUAGCCACCA
rnacentral:lncRNA from 1 species